rnacentral:rRNA from 1 species
CAUGUCUUUUUGAUAAUGAUUUAAGGUCUAAUCUGCUCAAUGAAUAAUUAAAUUGCCGCAGUAUUUUGACUGUGCAAAGGUAGCAUAAUAAUUAGUUUUUUAAUUGAAAGCUGGAAUGAAUGAUUGGACGAGAAAAUUUCUGUCUUUUUUUGAAUUGAUUUUGAAUUUAAUUUUUAAGUUAAAAAGCUUAAAUUUUUAUAAAAGACGAGAAGACCCUAUAGAGUUUAAUAUAAAGAUUUAAAUGAGUUUUAGAAAUUAAUAAUAGGUCUUUUUAUUUAGUUGGGGUGACUUAAAGAUUAAAAAAAUUCUUUAAAUUUUAAAUUGAUGAUAUUUAAUUUCUAAAUCUAGUUUUUUUAAAUUGAAUUAUAAUUACCUUAGGGAUAACAGCGUAAUUUUUCUUUAAAGUUCAAAUUAAAAGGAAAGUUUGCGACCUCGAUGUUGGAUUAAAAUUUAUUUUUGGUGCAGUAGCUUAAAAAUUAGGUCUGUUCGACCUUUAAAAUUUUACAUGAUCUGAGUUUAAACCGGUGUAAGCCAGGUUGGAUUCUAUCUUUAAUUGGUUAAUAAAUUUUAGUACGAAAGGACCAAAUUUAUAUUAAAUAUUAAUUG